CCCGAGUUCCAGGGCCUGUCUGUCCAUGUGCAGCCCUGACUGGGGGCUUGUUGUCUGGUCUCUGCAGGCUGCCUUUGGUCCUUUGGGGAAAAUGGCUCAGAUGCUUGAUACAUGGAAGGAGGAAGGAAAGAAAUGGCAGUGGAGCACCCAGCUGUGCCAGGUGGCCGACCUCCAUGACUUCAUUUGCCUCUCCUAACAAUCUGGCAAGACUGGAAAUGUUAUCCCCAUCGUACAGAGGAGGAAGCUGGUCAGAAAGGUCCAGCCAUGUGUCCACACAAUUUGGCAGCAGUGGGACUGAAAGAGACUUCUGACAGCUUCAGGGACAAUGAGAAACACAGGUAUGGUGC